rnacentral:rRNA from 1 species
GCAUAUUCAAUCAAGCGGAGGAAAAAGAAAACGAAACCCAGGGAUUCCCCUAGUAACGGCGAGCGAACCCGGGAAGAGCCCAGCGUGUCAAUCUGGCCCUUCGGGGUCCGAGUUGUGGUCUGGAGGGCGGCGCUCCGCGCGGUCCGAUCGCCAAGUCCGCUGGAAAGCGGCGUCGCAGAGGGUGACAACCCCGUGGGCGAUCGGCUUCCGCGCUUCUCGAGCCCGUUCCGCGGAGUCGGGUUGCUUGGGAAUGCAGCUCUAAGCCGGUGGUAAAUCCCAUCGAAGGCUAAAUAUCGGCGGGAGACCGAUAGCGAACAAGUACCGUGAGGGAAAGAUGAAAAGAACUUUGAAAAGAGAGUCAAAAAGUGCCUGAACUCGUUGAGAGGGAAGCGACGUGGACUCGUCGAUCCUUCGGGGGCCGAUGGGCCGCUCUUUGCGGCCCUUGACGCCCCCCGAGAGGUCAGCGUGGGUUGGGCGCCGCGCACAUCCCCGGAAGGCCGCGUGCCUCCGGGCUUGCGCGUCGUUCGACCGAGGUUUCCAGGGGGCGGGCUUUUCUGCCCGGGGAAUUCGUUCCUCCUGCCCCUUCCGGACCGCUGGCCGAGACGACCUCGUCGGCCCGUCUUGAAACACGGACCAAGGAGUCUAGCGUGCGUGCGAGUGAGAGGGUGCCAAACCCGUCAAGCGCAGGGAAACCGAGCGGUGCCAAUCCCUCUCUUGGGACGCAGCAUCGGCCGCUGGGGGUGGCCUCGGCCUCCUCCCAGUGCGCAUCAGCACGCCCGCUGGGACCCGAAAGAUGGUGAACUAUGCCUGAGCAGGGCGAAGCCAGAGGAAACUCUGGUGGAGGCUCGAAGAUGUGCUGACGUGCAAAUCGCUUUUCAGACUCGGGUAUAGGGGGCGAAAGACUCAUCGAACCCAUCUAGUAGCUGGCUCCCCUCCCGAAG